CCUACGGGGGGCUGCAGUGGGGAAUAUUGGACAAUGGGGGGAACCCUGAUCCAGCCAUGCCGCGUGUGUGAAGAAGGCCCUCGGGUUGUAAAGCACUUUCAGUGAGGAAGAACGGCUGGUGGUUAAUACCCAUCAGGAAAGACAUCACUCACAGAAGAAGCACCGGCUAACUCCGUGCCAGCAGCCGCGGUAAUACGGAGGGUGCGAGCGUUAAUCGGAAUUACUGGGCGUAAAGCGCGCGUAGGUGGCUUGAUAAGCCGGUUGUGAAAGCCCCGGGCUCAACCUGGGAACGGCAUCCGGAACUGUCAAGCUAGAGUGCAGGAGAGGAAGGUAGAAUUCCCGGUGUAGCGGUGAAAUGCGUAGAGAUCGGGAGGAAUACCAGUGGCGAAGGCGGCCUUCUGGACUGACACUGACACUGAGGUGCGAAAGCGUGGGUAGCAAACAGGAUUAGAUACCCCAGUAGUC
rnacentral:rRNA from 1 species